UUCUUGGCCGCUUUCUCUUUGACUGAAAUAUAAAUAGAGAAACUGCAUCCUUAGAAUUUUGUUGAUAUAAAUCAGUGUUGUCGAAUAUGGGCCAUGGCGGUGGUGGCGGAUUUCGGCCUCUCCGAUAUGGUAAAUAUCGCCCGAUGUUGCGAGCUUUUCUGCCAUAAGCCACUAUGAAGGCACCAUAAAGCGGCCUAAAAGGCAGGAUUUUGGCUCUCUGCCAUGGACCACCAUCCACCAUCGACAACACUGAUAUAAACAAACUCGCACCAAUCAUUCAUGUAAAGCUGAACAUAAAACAGAUUAAAUCAUCUGGUAUAUCCAUCAUGUUGUAUUAAAUUGUAAAAAUGAACACUUGCAAAUUAUAGUAAGAGCCCUUUAAAAGAAAGUUUGAUUAACAUAAAGUUAUAUCCACACACUAAUGAUCAAUGCCAAGUGUGAGAUACCAUAAAGGCCUGAUUAGAAAGUUGUUGAAUAAUGUCCGUUGAUUAGUUCAGAGUUGAAAGGGAAUGCUGAGGUUGUAAAGUUGUUGAACGUUAUAAUUGCUAAUGUUUAGUUGAUCAGACGCAUUUGAUUAGCUGUUUAAGCUUGCAUUUGAUCAAGUUGUUUCACUAAAGUUGACAUGGAUGAACUGAUCAUCUUUGAUUGCUGCCAACAUAGCUGAUGCAAUGCAUUCUGAAUGUAAGCACAAAACCUUC
rnacentral:lncRNA from 1 species